CCCUUAGAUGUUCUGGGCCGCACGCGCGCUACACUGUUCGACGCAGCGAGUCUUAACCUUGACCGAAAGGUUUGGGUAAUCUUCAGCAAAGUCGAACGUGAUGGGGAUCGAUCAUUGCAAUUAUUGAUCGUGAACGAGGAAUUCCUAGUAAGUGCAAGUCAUCAGCUUGCGCUGAUUACGUCCCUGCCCUUUGUACACACCGCCCGUCGCUACUACCGAUUGAAUGGUUUAGUGAGAUCUCUGGAUUGACGCUGGCUAGGGGGCGACCCUUGGCCAGACUGCUCGAGAAACUGCUCAAACUUGAUCAUUUAGAGGAAGUAUAAGUCGUAACA
rnacentral:rRNA from 1 species